GCACUCAUGCACGCUGUCUUCAGCUGUAUGUUAUCUCAAAUAAUUACCCUCGCUUCUGGCUGUCCCUGGCGACUUCUGCUGCUAAAAAAGCUACUCAUUGUCGGAGACUGAAGAGGGAUUUCCAGCCUGCUUCUUGUGGCCGGGCAACGGCUCUUAAUUAACCACUCAGGUAUUGUGGGAGCUCCCAGCCCGGCUCGCUUCCAUAUGGCGCGAACAUGUCCGCAGUGAUAAGCACGGGAGGAAAUACUGUAUCAAAAAGGAGCUCACACAACCGAAAGCUUGUGCAAAUUAUUUUUAAUGAUUCUUCUCUGAGAUACCAGCUGAGGCUAUAAAAAGGAGGCUGCUGUGUUUAUUUUGUCUACAGACUGCCCAAUGGGAUGAAGUUUCCAGUGUGAUGUCAUUGGAAACAUUGCUCCUCAGAGCAGUGAAAUUAGCCCGAAAGAAGAGGAACAUGGAGCCUCACUUUCCAAUCAGGUGUGAUUGCCCUCCAAACUCAGAGGUCACAGCAAGCCCCCACUGGAUUCUUCCAUCCACCCUACCACCAUGCCAACCCAGCCCUCCUACAAGACCAGGGAGCACAUGCCCUGGCCACACCCCUGUCCUAUUCCAGUGUUUGGCUCAUGCAUACUGCCUGGGUCAGAAUUAUGCGCAGCACCAUGGGGCUUGGACCAGGCAAGCUGGAAGCCUGUCUGUAAUUCUUUGUUUAGGUCAAGCAAAGGAACACUCACGGGUAAUUCGCAGUGUCUGUACUCAGAGGUAUUGCCAAUCUCAUUAUCAUUAAUUUUUGCAUAUUUAACUACAGUUUUUAAUUAGAUGGUAUUUUAUUAUUCAUGCACAUAAUUUGUGUCGAAGUCUGACUGCUCCCUUGAAGGAAAAAAAGGGGGGGAGCGCAGGAGGCUGAUAUUUCUGAAUUGGAAGUCAGGGUUGGUGCUUCUAUUUGGCUGGAGAGCAGAGCGGCCUCUGAGUCUAUAAUGGUUCUCUUUUAAUUUUGCUAAUAGCUAUCAUGUUAUGUACCUUUAUAAAUUUGUUAAAUCCAGAGUGCUGGGAGUAGUCUCUGUACGCGGUGACUGUAAACAGCCCGCUCUGUUUGGUCUUCGCAUACAAACUGUUUGCUCAAGCUCCUUGAUGUAUUAUUAAAACGGGUAAUGGGCCCCUGGGAACGCAUCUAGUUAUAGGCCUUCAUUUGCAGAAUAAACCAUGCGUUGUUUUCAUCUUUA